rnacentral:tRNA from 1 species
UAGGGUAUAGUUUAAUGGCAAAACGAAGGUCUCCAAAACCUUUGAUGUGGGUUCGAUUCCUACUACCCCUGCCA